AGCAGGGCACUGCAGGGUGUUUCAGGGUGUAGCAGGGUAUUGUAGGGCAUUACAGGGUGUAGCAGAGCACUGCAGGGUGUAGCAGGU